rnacentral:misc_RNA from 1 species
UCCGGUUUGUCACCGGCAGUCAUCCUAGAGUGCCCAUCUCGACAUGCUGGCAACUAAGAUUAAGGGUUGCGCUCGUUGCGGGACUUAACCCAACAUCUCACGACACGAGCUGACGACAACCAUGCACCACCUGUCUCUCUUGUCCCCGAGGGGCCGGCACUGUCUCCAUUGCCUUCAAGAGGAUGUCAAGACCUGGUAAGGUUCUUCGCGUUGCUUCGAAUUAAACCACAUACUCCACUGCUUGUGCGGGUCCCCGUCAAUUCCUUUGAGUUUCAGUCUUGCGACCGUACUCCCCAGGCGGAAUGCUUAAUGUGUUAACUUCGGCACCCAGGGUAUUGAAACCCCUGACACCUAGCAUUCAUCGUUUACAGCGUGGACUA